rnacentral:rRNA from 1 species
AAUCUGCGAUAAGCGCCGGUAAGGUGAUAUGAACCGUUAUAACCGGCGAUACCCGAAUGGGGAAACCCAGUGUGAUUCGUCACACUAUCAUUAACUGAAUCCAUAGGUUAAUGAGGCGAACCGGGGGAACUGAAACAUCUAAGUACCCCGAGGAAAAGAAAUCAACCGAGAUUCCCCCAGUAGCGGCGAGCGAACGGGGAGGAGCCCAGAGCCUGAAUCAGCAUGUGUGUUAGUGGAAGCGUCUGGAAAGGCGCGCGAUACAGGGUGACAGCCCCGUACACAAAAGCGCAUGUGCUGUGAGCUCGAUGAGUAGGGCGGGACACGUGGUAUCCUGUCUGAAUAUGGGGGGACCAUCCUCCAAGGCUAAAUACUCCUGACUGACCGAUAGUGAACCAGUACCGUGAGGGAAAGGCGAAAAGAACCCCGGCGAGGGGAGUGAAAAAGAACCUGAAACCGUGUACGUACAAGCAGUGGGAGCACAGGUUUACCUGUGUGACUGCGUACCUUUUGUAUAAUGGGUCAGCGACUUAUAUUCUGUAGCAAGGUUAACCGAAUAGGGGAGCCGGAGGGAAACCGAGUCUUAAUUGGGCGUUAAGUUGCAGGGUAUAGACCCGAAACCCGGUGAUCUAGCCAUGGGCAGGUUGAAGGUUGGGUAACACUAACUGGAGGACCGAACCGACUAAUGUUGAAAAAUUAGCGGAUGACCUGUGGCUGGGGGUGAAAGGCCAAUCAAACCGGGAGAUAGCUGGUUCUCCCCGAAAGCUAUUUAGGUAGCGCCUCGUGAAUUCAUCUCCGGGGGUAGAGCACUGUUUCGGCUAGGGGGCCAUCCCGGCUUACCAACCCGAUGCAAACUGCGAAUACCGGAGAAUGUUAUCACGGGAGACACACGGCGGGUGCUAACGUCCGUCGUGAAGAGGGAAACAACCCAGACCGCCAGCUAAGGUCCCAAAGUCAUGGUUAAGUGGGAAACGAUGUGGGAAGGCCCAGACAGCCAGGAUGUUGGCUUAGAAGCAGCCAUCAUUUAAAGAAAGCGUAAUAGCUCACUGGUCGAGUCGGCCUGCGCGGAAGAUGUAACGGGGCUAAACCAUGCACCGAAGCUGCGGCAGCGACACUGUGUGUUGUUGGGUAGGGGAGCGUUCUGUAAGCCUGUGAAGGUGUGUCGUGAGGCAUGCUGGAGGUAUCAGAAGUGCGAAUGCUGACAUAAGUAACGAUAAAGCGGGUGAAAAGCCCGCUCGCCGGAAGACCAAGGGUUCCUGUCCAACGUUAAUCGGGGCAGGGUGAGUCGACCCCUAAGGCGAGGCCGAAAGGCGUAGUCGAUGGGAAACGGGUUAAUAUUCCCGUACUUGGUGUUACUGCGAAGGGGGGACGGAGAAGGCUAUGUUGGCCGGGCGACGGUUGUCCCGGUUUAAGCGUGUAGGUGUGUGUUCCAGGUAAAUCCGGUUCACUUUAACACUGAGGCGUGACGACGAGGCACUACGGUGCUGAAGCAACAAAUGCCCUGCUUCCAGGAAAAGCCUCUAAGCAUCAGGUAACAUCAAAUCGUACCCCAAACCGACACAGGUGGUCAGGUAGAGAAUACCAAGGCGCUUGAGAGAACUCGGGUGAAGGAACUAGGCAAAAUGGUGCCGUAACUUCGGGAGAAGGCACGCUGACACGUAGGUGAAGUGAUUUACUCAUGGAGCUGAAGUCAGUCGAAGAUACCAGCUGGCUGCAACUGUUUAUUAAAAACACAGCACUGUGCAAACACGAAAGUGGACGUAUACGGUGUGACGCCUGCCCGGUGCCGGAAGGUUAAUUGAUGGGGUCAGCGCAAGCGAAGCUCCUGAUCGAAGCCCCGGUAAACGGCGGCCGUAACUAUAACGGUCCUAAGGUAGCGAAAUUCCUUGUCGGGUAAGUUCCGACCUGCACGAAUGGCGUAAUGAUGGCCAGGCUGUCUCCACCCGAGACUCAGUGAAAUUGAACUCGCUGUGAAGAUGCAGUGUACCCGCGGCAAGACGGAAAGACCCCGUGAACCUUUACUAUAGCUUGACACUGAACAUUGAGCCUUGAUGUGUAGGAUAGGUGGGAGGCUUUGAAGUGUGGACGCCAGUCUGCAUGGAGCCGACCUUGAAAUACCACCCUUUAAUGUUUGAUGUUCUAACGUGGACCCGUUACCCGGGUUGCGGACAGUGUCUGGUGGGUAGUUUGACUGGGGCGGUCUCCUCCUAAAGAGUAACGGAGGAGCACGAAGGUUGGCUAAUCCUGGUCGGACAUCAGGAGGUUAGUGCAAUGGCAUAAGCCAGCUUGACUGCGAGCGUGACGGCGCGAGCAGGUGCGAAAGCAGGUCAUAGUGAUCCGGUGGUUCUGAAUGGAAGGGCCAUCGCUCAACGGAUAAAAGGUACUCCGGGGAUAACAGGCUGAUACCGCCCAAGAGUUCAUAUCGACGGCGGUGUUUGGCACCUCGAUGUCGGCUCAUCACAUCCUGGGGCUGAAGUAGGUCCCAAGGGUAUGGCUGUUCGCCAUUUAAAGUGGUACGCGAGCUGGGUUUAGAACGUCGUGAGACAGUUCGGUCCCUAUCUGCCGUGGGCGCUGGAGAACUGAGGGGGGCUGCUCCUAGUACGAGAGGACCGGAGUGGACGCAUCACUGGUGUUCGGGUUGUCAUGCCAAUGGCACUGCCCGGUAGCUAAAUGCGGAAGAGAUAAGUGCUGAAAGCAUCUAAGCACGAAACUUGCCCCGAG